GAUGAACGCUGGCGGCGUGCCUAAUACAUGCAAGUCGAGCGGUAAGGCCCUUCGGGUACGACGAGCGGCGGACGGCUGAGUAACGCGUAGGAAUAUACCCCAAACGUGAGGGAUAACUGCCCGAAAGGGUGGCUAAUACUGCAUAUGGUCUUCGGAUUAAAGCCUUCGGGCGCUUUGGGAAUAGCCUGCGUAAGAUUAGCUUGUUGGUGAGGUAAAAGCUCACCAAGGCGACGAUCUUUAGUCUGGUCUGAGAGGAUGACCAGCCAGACUGGAACUGAGACACGGUCCAGACUCCUACGGGAGGGCAGCAGUAGGGAAUUUUCCCUACAAUGGGCGGAAAGCCUGAUGGAGCAACGCCGCGUGCAGGAUGAAGGCCCUCGGGUCGUAAACUGCUUUUAUGUGAGAAGAAUAUGACGGUAACACAUGAAUAAGGGUCGGCUAACUACGUG
rnacentral:rRNA from 1 species